rnacentral:rRNA from 1 species
UCGCCUGUUUUAUCAAAAACAUCUCUUCUUAAGGAAUAAGGGGUAGGCUCUGCUCAGUGAUAUAAAAUUAAAUAGCCGCAGUAUUUUGACUGUGCUAAGGUAGCAUAAUAAUUUGCCUUAUAAUAGAGGGCUAGGAUAAAGGAGUUGACGGUGCUUAAGCUUUCCUCGGAAAAAAAGUUGAAAUUGAUACCUUCAUAAAAAAGUGAAGUUUGCUUUAAAGGGACGAUAAGACCCUGUAAAGCUUUACAAAAAAAAUCUUCUCUAGGAGGAGAUUAAAGAGGGGUUUUUUUAGUUGAGCUGGGGCGGUUUCUUUUAUUCAAAAGAAGAAUUAACAAAUAAUUUUUGAGUCGGAAGAUCUUUUUCAGAUUUAGAACAAGCUACUUUAGGGAUAACAGCACAAUUUUUUUUUAUAGUUCUUAUAGAUAGAAAAGACUUGUGACCUCGAUGUUGAAUUGAGAAAGUUUCUUAGGGUAGAAAUUAAGAAGGGGGGUCUGUUCGACCUAUAGGUUCUCACGUGAUCUGAG